rnacentral:lncRNA from 1 species
UUUGUGUGUGUUCUGGUCGUACAAAACACAGGAGCCAAGAAGGGCUCUCAAGCUCAAACCCUAACAAGCAUAAAAUCAACAAAUUGAAGGGGUAAAUCCAACCUAAAUCGAAAUCCAAGCACGAAUUCAUGAUCAUCUCGAUGGAGGGAUCAUAAGUUUGACUCUUGACAAGCUAGAUGGAGGCUUGGGAAAGAAGCGGGUCAAACGGAUCGUAUACGCGGAAAAGAGCAUAAUCCGGAUACUAGGUAAAUCAAUACAAUUAAUAAGAGUUAAACGGUAAGGUGGUCACUAGUUGACGAUACCGUUAGUUUUGAAGGACACUUUAUGGCGUAAGAUAUAAAGGGGUCAAAAUGAUCAAGAAAUAGAUUUAUAAGGAAAAUUGACCGUACGGUGUAAACCGGUACAAGUCAUGUAGACGAGAUGAUGAUAAAUCCAUCUCGCAAAAGUAAACGGUCAUUUAGACCAAACGGGUCAAAAGGUGAAAAUAUCACCCUUUGACAAUAUCGACUAAUGGUGAAGAUGGACCUAAUCCGAAUGAAGAUCAAGCGGCGAGCAAGAACCGAACACACGUUAGAUGAAGCUUCCGCGUCAAAUCUUGAUUUGUGUUGAUAUAAGUGAAUUAUGUAAACACUUAUAAAUUGUUUUUGAAAUGUUGUAAUCAUUUGGGAAUGUUGGUAUAACAAGUUUUGUAAAGACACAUUUUAGCAUAAAAAUUUGUAUCUUUUAUUAAAAUAUUAAUAAAACCAGACGGGCGUUACAAAGACCUGUCAACAUGACCGUUUAU